rnacentral:rRNA from 1 species
UGGGCAGUUUGACUGGGGCGGUCGCCUCCCAAAAGGUAACGGAGGCGCUCAAAGGUUCUCUCAGUACGGUCGGAAAUCGUACGUAGAGUGUAAAGGCAAAAGAGAGCUUGAUUGCAAGACAUACAGGUCGAGCAAGGAUGAAAAUCGGACUUAGUGAUCCGGUGGUUCUGCGUGGAAGGGCCAUCGCUCAACGGAUAAAAGCUACCCUGGGGAUAACAGGCUUAUCUCCCCCAAGAGUCCACAUCGACGGGGAGGUUUGGCACCUCGAUGUCGGCUCAUCACAUCCUGGGGCUGUAGUAGGUCCCAAGGGUUGGGCUGUUCGCCCAUUAAAGUGGUACGCGAGCUGGGU